UCAGUCAGCGGGCGUUUGAAACUAGAGGACAGUCCAGAAAAUGCCAGAUGUGGGUGGAGAGCGCUUGCAGUUUGUAUAGGAGGUUAUAAGUAGAGGAGUGAACAGUGCCGGGAAUACGGAGCAGAGCUCAGCUGUUGCAUGGGUCUCAUCUGACUCCAUUUGUCACAGCUCAUCUUCCAGUUCUUCUCAUCGACUGCCCUCCUCGUUGCAUUUGUCUGGUCCCUCUGCACAGCCAUGCACCCCCAGCGUCCUCUUCCCCAGGCCAUGCCUUCCGCCUCUCUGGGACAGCACCUGCGGGACAUGGCCAUGGGCCUGGGACGAGGCAAGAACUUCCUGGGAGGAAACUUUGCCUACAGUUUUAUCCAGUCGGUUAAAGAAUGCCUCUAUUUCCUCCUCUGCUGCUGGUGCAUCAAAGAGAUCCUGGACUGACAGACUGAGAGAAAAGGGUACAUCAAGUGGUAGAGCACAGAUUUUUCCUUGUUUCUCCACUGGGUCCUGUAUUGUAAUUUCAACCAGCUUUUAUUUCAUCAGAAAUGGGAGUGUUAUAUGGUAAAGCCUUGGCAGGAAGGGAGGUCUUUUGGGGUUCGAGGAAGCUUGCCAGCAGGUUUCAAGAUGAUACAGACUUUAUAUCCGGACUGGGUUAGAGUUUUCUGAAUUGUACCCUGAUGAUCUGAGAUUCCCAGGACUGUGGCUCACCUGAUGUUCACUGUACAACACAAAGUGGUGUGGCAAUAAAUAAAGGAACUCAUAAACAGAAAAAA